UACGGGGGGAGCAAGCGUUGUUCGGAUUUACUGGGCGUAAAGGGCGCGUAGGCGGUCAGCACAAGUCAGUUGUGAAAUCUCCGGGCUUAACUCGGAAAGGUCAACUGAUACUGUGCGACUAGAGUGCAGAAGGGGCAACUGGAAUUCUCGGUGUAGCGGUGAAAUGCGUAGAUAUCGAGAGGAACACCUGCGGCGAAGGCGGGUUCCUGGGCUGACACUGACGCUGAUGCGCGAAAGCCAGGGGAGCGAACGGG
rnacentral:rRNA from 1 species